CAGUCGCCGCGGUAAUACGGAGGGGGCUAGCGUUGUUCGGAAUUACUGGGCGUAAAGCGCACGUAGGCGGCUUGGUAAGUUAGAGGUGAAAGCCCGGAGCUCAACUCCGGAAUUGCCUUUAAGACUGCCGAGCUAGCAGGUGAGAGAGGUAAGUGGAAUUCCGAGUGUAGAGGUGAAAUUCGUAGAUAUUCGGAAGAACACCAGUGGCGAAGGCGGCUUACUGGCUCAUACUGGACGCUGAGGUGCGAAAGCGUGGGGAGCAAACAGGAUUAGAUACCCGUGUAGUCCCUGUCUCUUAUAC
rnacentral:rRNA from 1 species